GGGUCAAUGAUGAGAACACAUUGUCUCGAAGAGAGAUGAUGACCAAAAAAUUAUUCUCAGAAUCAGUCUUGAGGCCC